CCUACGGGUGGCUGCAGUGAGGAAUAUUGCGCAAUGGGGGCAACCCUGACGCAGCGACGCCGCGUGAGUGAGGAAGGCCUUCGGGUCGUAAAGCUCUGUCAAAGGGAAAGAAGUGUAUAAUGGCUAAUACCUGUUAUACUUGACGGUACCCUUAAAGGAAGCACCGGCUAACUCCGUGCCAGCAGCCGCGGUAAUACGGAGGGUGCAAGCGUUGUUCGGAAUUACUGGGCGUAAUGGGCGCGUAGGCGGUUUGAUAAGUCAGAUGUGAAAGCCCACGGCUUAACCGUGGAAGUGCAUUUGAUACUGUCAGACUUGAGUACCAGAGGGGAAAGUGGAAUUCCCGGUGUAGAGGUGAAAUUCGUAGAUAUCGGGAGGAAUACCGGUGGCGAAGGCGACUUUCUGGCUGAGUACUGACGCUGAGGCGCGAAAGCGUGGGGAGCAAACAGGAUUAGAUACCCCGGUANUC
rnacentral:rRNA from 1 species